rnacentral:rRNA from 1 species
CCUACGGGAGGCAGCAGUGGGGAAUAUUGCACAAUGGGGGAAACCCUGAUGCAGCGACGCCGCGUGAGUGAAGACGUAUUUCGGUAUGUAAAGCUCUAUCAGCAGGGAAGAAAAUGACGGUACUUGAUUAAGAAGCCGCGGCUAACUACGUGCAAGCAGCCGCGGUCAUACGGAGGGGGCAAGCGUUAACCGGAUUUACUGGGUGUAAAGGGAGCGUAGACGGCAGCACAAGUCAGGAGUGAAAUGCCGGGGCUUAACCCGGGAACUGCUUUUGACACUGGGCGGCUAGAGUGCAUGAGAGGUAAGUGGAAUUCGUAGUGUAGCGGUGAAAUGCGUAGAUAUUAGGAAGAACACCGAUGGCGAAGGCAGCUUACUGGGCUGUAACUGACGUUGAGGCACGAAAGCGUGGGGAGCAAACAGGAUUAGAUACCCUGGUAGUC